GUCCCGUUCGUCUAGUGGUUAGGACACUGGCCUUUCACGCCGGCAACAGGGGUUCGACUCCCCUACGGGACGCCA
rnacentral:tRNA from 1 species